AAUUAAGUAAUUGUGUUUAUUAGGUUAACUAAGCUUUAUAUAAAACAGAGGUUACUAAGAAUUAUUAUUUUAAAUACAAUUAUAAUGGUGUGGAUUUUAUCAAAUCGAGGUAUUUAGUAAAUGAUUUUAAGCUUAAAAAGAAAAGAAAAAAAAACCUCAUUCUUUGAGUUCUCAUUGUUCCUCAUGUCAUCAAUCCAAAAAGCCACAACAACACUUCUUCUCAUUCGUGUCAAAUAAGAGUUCUCUAAGAUUUUGAGUUGUCAAUUACAACUCUCUUAAAAAGCUUCUCAAUAUCACAUAUCAAUUUUAGAAAUUCAGCAACUUGAUGAUCCAAAAUUCAACUUCACAUUCGAAUUGGUUGAGAAAUCAAAUUCUUAAAUUGUUUUCUCUCUCUUCUGGGUUUUUGGUUGUUGUUUCGUCUGUUGCUGCUGGCGGUGCACCACCCUAUUCGGUGUUGCCGCCGUGUCGUGAUUAGCGCUGCCAUUUUGGUUGUUGUCGGUUGUUCUUCAAGUCCAAUGUUCUCUCUCCUCUGCUUCGGUGUUGCUGCUGUCGUCCGGUUGGUGUUCCGACGCCUCCGGGCUGUUGUUGCAACCUUGCUACUGUUGGUGGUGCAAUGUUGCUGGUGGUGCAGUGGGUAACCGCUAUUGUCUUUAUUCUUUCAUUCUAUUUCCUCUGCAUUUGUGUCGGUGUUGAUGACUUGAUUUCUGGCUUCACUUACUGCACUCUUGGGUAAAGAAAACCCCAAAUCAGUGUUGGAAAAUUUUGUCAAAGGUAUAAUGAAGUUAUGUUUUCUUAUACUCUGUUUUCAAUGAUGGAAUCAAAGUCUUACAUUAUAGAAUCGAUUGGUGUCUUAGUUAAUUGUUGCAAAUCUGGUAUAAUGACAAUUGUUAUGGUAUGGUUAAAAUGAUCAUUGUACUGAAGACAAUUAGUGUUGCUAAGUGGAGUAAGAUUUAUGAAUACUAGAUAAAGACUAUUAACUUUAUUUAUGAAAUUCUCUAAUUAGUAAGCAUAUGGAUACAUCAUAAAGUCAACGAUUAUGAGGAGUUACAUGAUUUCGUUUUGGCUAUUGGAUUUAAUAUAGAAUGGUAAAAAAAAAACUUUGUAUAAAAGACCAUCAUAGUUCUGCAAUCAGGAAUUGGUUCAAGGAGUACUUUAUUGUUUUAGGGAAUGAUCUGUCAUGAAGGUUUUUGGAAUUUAUAUUGGAAUUAGACUAGUUGGUGUCUAAAUAAAAGUGAUCAAUAUAAUAUAUAUAUAUGGGUGUUCAAUUAGUAGUACAUGGAAGUGUUAUAAAAAUAUCAAUUGAAUAAGUUAUGGGUUUCUAGUUAAGCCAUAAGGUGUAUUUACUAUACUAAUGAUAAUUAUUGUUGUUGAGGUGAAUUAUUGUGGAGUUCAAGCCAGAGUUGAUGAUCGAGUAUCUAUGAUCUUGGGAGUUAUUAAUUGAGAAUUAGUUGUGGUUGAGGUGUAUGUUUGGAUUUCUGGAAGAAUCAAGAGAAAGAGUUUUCAGUUAAGAGAUGGAAAAUAAAUUAGAGAUUCGAAGUUAGAUAUAGAAUAUAAGUUAUUAAAUAUUAAGUUCUCAUUUGGUGUUCAAUAUUUUAUUGUUUUGGGAAUAAAGUAAAUUGUAAUCUGUUAUUGGUUGUGAAGUUCUAUUUUUUGUGGGCCCAUAACCCACAGGUCCAGGAUCGAGUAAUAAGGUUUUGUUUCCGCUGCGAGUAAAUAGUUAAUUCAAGGUUAUUAAGUGCUAA